UGUGACAAGAGCAAUCUCGCCACAUUGCAUUGGAGAAGCCUGGCUGCCCGCCUGCUGCCUUUGGACUAUGGACCAGACUUUAUGUAAAUGUGUUAACCCAGAUAGCUAUGCCAUGGAGCCCAUUUGUGUAGUUAAAGACUUCAGCUCCAUGGCAAUUGAACUGUGUGAAUAGGAUCUGAGCGCUAUUCGGUAGUUUUGUGCGCUCAGAUCCCAGCUAUCUGGGGAUAUGUGAAAUGUCUGUGUGUUAUGUGUAAAAGGUGACUUUAUGUAUUUUAAAGUGUUUUAUGUCUUUUUGCAACCAUGUGCUCAAUGGAGUCUGCCUCUAUCCCUGGAUAAUUGGAUUACUUUCCCCAUUGUCUCCAGAAUAGAGGGCUCUGUAAAACCUGUUUGAGCCAGAUAACCAUGUGCCAGCCAGGGCCCAAAAGAUACUUUUACUAACUUUUGAACCCCUGGUCGGAUUCAUG